rfam:Clostridium sp. CAG:221 genomic scaffold, scf115
UUUGAACUAAAAGAAAAAACUCGUAUAAGUCCCUAAUAUGGUGGGAUGUCUCUACAGGAAACCUAAAAUUUCUAACUAUGAGUAGUUAAGUGUAUAUA